AUGUCCGCCGCCGGCGUUGGCCGUUUGUCGCGGUCGGCCACCAGCGUCGUCGCCAAAGCGGUGAGCGGGUUCCACCUGCUGCGCAUCGACGGCUACUCGCAGGCCAAGACGGUCCUCCCAGGCGAGAAGAUCUCCUCCGUGGGCUUCACCGUCGGCAGCGGGUCCUGGCGCAUGGACUACUACCCCAACGGCCGCGACGCCGCCCCGAGAUCCAACCACGCCUCUGUCUACAUCCAGCUCACCGACGACUGCACCCGGCGUCCCGUCCAGGCGUGGUACAAGUUCAGCCUGCUGGACCACGCCGGCAACACCGCGUACGAGCUCCCGGUCGAGACCGGCUCGUUCACCGGCAUCCCCAAACCCGAAGUCGACGACCAUUACUACCACCCCUUGUACUCCCACCCCUUGUACUCCCCCCGCCCGCGCAUGCGCGCCUUGAGGAGCCCUGCCGCUGCCGGCGACGAAGAAGGCCCGGGAUGCGGCCACGAGCAGUUCAUCGGGAGGGAAGAGCUGGAGCAUCUGAUCCGCGACGACUUCCUCGUGGUCCGGUGCGACGUCGGCCUUAGGGAGAUGACGUGCUCGCGUCUGGCGGCGGACGAGAUCGACAACUGGGAAGAUGAUGAAGGUGAUGAGGCGGAGGAGGGCUACCUCGGGGCUCCAACUUAUUAUCCUCCUCAUCCCGGUCGGGGUCGACGCCGUCGUCAGCCGGACGACGGUGAGUACGUCAAGUGGUGUUUGGCCCAGCGGCCUGGUGAGCCGCGGAUCCGGCAGGGGCGAAACGUCGGCGGCCAAUAUGCAUGA
rnacentral:rRNA from 1 species